UGCAUGCCAACGGCACCGAGGGCGCCCGGGGGCUGCAGGACCCGGAGCUCACGGCCGCGCACCCCGCCGUCCUCGCGCUGGGAAAGGGAGGACCCCGCGCGCAACGCCCUCUCCCCUUGUCGCUCUGCACCCCCGCGGCGUCUUCGUUGCACACGCCGCAAACAAGCGGCAAACGACGGGACCCCGCGCCCGCUGUCUAGGGUCCAUCCAGUUAGCAACUGACCAAAGGAAGCGUGAUGAAGCAAGAGACAUCGAGUGUUUUUAGAGAUGGAAGGAAAGCAGCCUGUCUCAUGAGACAUGAAAUGAUAUGAAAUCCCAGUCGCGAUUCAGGAUCACACCAGUGUCUCGGCUCUCUGACUAGUGUCUUCUGCGGUGGCCUCUCUGCCCCUGGCCUCAGAGCAAAGUGAGCAAGGGAGCAGAAAUCAGCAUGUGUCCAGCGUAUGCGUGUGUCCGGCAACCUGAGUUCAAUCCCCAAAGGCGGAAGUGGAGAACCAACUCUGCCCUCUGCCCUCU